GACAUCUGCAUGUGGUUGACCUGUGACUGCAUCUGACCAGAUUCCUGCAACUGCACCAUUAGUCAGCAAAACUGUGUAUAGCAAGGAGGAGGAGCUGU